rnacentral:rRNA from 1 species
GACAGAGGUGCCAAGCGUUAGGCGGAAUCACUGGGCUUAAAGCGUGUGUAGGCGGAUGUCUAAGUACCUUGUGAAAUCCCACGGCUCAACCGUGGAACUGCUUGGUAUACUGGAUGUCUUGAGCCAUCUAGGGGCUACCGGAACAAAUGGUGGAGCGGUGAAAUGCGUAGAUAAUCAUUUGGAACGCCAAUGGUGAAAACAGGUAGCUGGGGAUGUGCUGACGCUGAAACACGAAAGCCAGGGGAGCAAACGGG